rnacentral:lncRNA from 1 species
CACAUAUACAGUAUCUACGGUCUCACCACUGAAAUGAAGGGCCAGAUGACAGAGCUCAACGGAAGUGCCCAUUGUAUUCUAGUGGAGAGGUGAGAGCCAAGCGUUCUACAGAUUGUAUUCUCGUGGAGAGGUGAGAGUCAAGCGUUCUACAGAUUGUAUUCUAGUGGAGAGGUGAGAGCCAAGCGUUCUACAGAUUGUAUUCUAGUGGAGAGGUGAGAGCCAAGCGUUCUACAGAUUGUAUUCUCAUGGAGAGGUGAGAGCCAAGCAUUCUACAGAUUAUAUUCUAGUGGAGAGGUGAGAGCCAAGCAUUCUACAGAUUGUAUUCUCUUGGAGAGGUGAGAGUCAAGCGUUCUACAGAUUAUAUUCUAGUGGAGAGGUGAGAGCCAAGCGUUCUACAGAUUAUAUUCUAGUGGAGAGGUGAGAGUCAAGCGUUCUACAGAUUAUAUUCUAGUGGAGAGGUGAGAGCCAAGCGUUCUACAGAUUAUAUUCUAGUGGAGAGGUGAAAGUCAAGCGUUCUACAGAUUAUAUUCUAGUGGAGAGGUGAGAGCCAAGCGUUCUACAGAUUGUAUUCUUGUGGAGAGGUGAGAGCCAAGCGUUCUACAGAUUAUAUUCUAGUGGAGAGGUGAGAGCCAAGCGUUCUACAGAUUAUAUUCUAGUGGAGAGGUGAGAGUCAAGCGUUCUACAGAUUAUAUUCUAG